AUGCAUUGGGUGUCGUGGAAGAAUCUAGCUACACCGAAGUGCAAAGGAGGUAUGGGUUUUCGAGACCCUCGUCAGUUUAACCUUGCGCUACUUGGAAAGCACGGAUGGAGAUUCCUAACCAAUCCGAGCUCUCUCUGUGCAAGGGUUUUAAAAGGCCGCUACUUUCCUGACACGGAUUUUAUGCAUGCAACAGUCCCCAAGUCUGCUUCUGCAACUUGGAGGGCGAUAUAUAAUAGCGGGCAGGGAAGCUCUGAAGGCGGGGUUGAUCAAAAGAGUGGGAGAUGGAUCCUCCAUUGA
rnacentral:rRNA from 1 species